AAGCGGUGGAGUAUGUGGUUUAAUUCGAUGCAACGCGAAGAACCUUACCUGGUCUUGACAUCCCGGAGACCCUUAGGAAACUAGGGGGUGCCUUCCAUCUGGAAGAAUCUGGAGACAGGUGCUGCAUGGCUGUCGUCAGCUCGUGUCGUGAGAUGUUGGGUUAAGUCCCGCAACGAGCGCAACCCUUGCCUUUAGUUGCCAGCAGUUCGGCUGGGCACUCUAAAGGGACUGCCGGUGUUAAACCGGAGGAAGGUGGGGAUGACGUCAAGUCCUCAUGGCCUUUAUGACCAGGGCUACACACGUACUACAAUGGCCGAUACAAAGGGCAGCGACACUGCGAGGUGAAGCCAAUCCCGUAAAAUCGGUCUCAGUCCGGAUUGGAGUCUGCAACUCGACUCCAUGAAGUUGGAAUCGCUAGUAAUCGUGGAUCAGCAUGCCACGGUGAAUACGUUCCCGGGCCUU
rnacentral:rRNA from 1 species